CGGACGGGUGAGUAACACGUGGAUAACCUACCUAUAAGACUGGGAUAACUUCGGGAAACCGGAGCUAAUACCGGAUAAUAUUUUGAACCGCAUGGUUCAAAAGUGAAAGACGGUCUUGCUGUCACUUAUAGAUGGAUCCGCGCUGCAUUAGCUAGUUGGUAAGGUAACGGCUUACCGAGGCAACGAUGCAUAGCCGACCUGAGAGGGUGAUCGGCCACACUGGAACUGAGACACGGUCCAG
rnacentral:rRNA from 1 species